GAGUUUGAUCGUGGCUCAGAUUGAACGCUGGCGGCAGGCCUAACACAUGCAAGUCGAGCGGAUGACGGGAGCUUGCUCCUUGAUUCAGCGGCGGACGGGUGAGUAAUGCCUAGGAAUCUGCCUGGUAGUGGGGGGACAACGUUUCGAAAGGAACGCUAAUACCGCAUACGUCCUACGGGAGAAAGCAGGGGACCUUCGGGCCUUGCGCUAUCAGAUGAGCCUAGGUCGGAUUAGCUAGUUGGUGGGGUAAUGGCUCACCAAGGCGACGAUCCGUAACUGGUCUGAGAGGAUGAUCAGUCACACUGGAACUGAGACACGGUCCAGACUCCUACGGGAGGCAGCAGUGGGGAAUAUUGGACAAUGGGCGAAAGCCUGAUCCAGCCAUGCCGCGUGUGUGAAGAAGGUCUUCGGAUUGUAAAGCACUUUAAGUUGGAGGAAGGGCAGUAAGUUAAUACCUUGCUGUUUGUACGUUACCGAC
rnacentral:rRNA from 1 species